GAGGAAAUGGCUGAGUAAGGCGAUAAAUUGUAAAUUUAUUUAUGAAUAAUUAUUCUUUCUUCA
rnacentral:tRNA from 1 species